UACGUAGGGUGCAAGCGUUAAUCGGAAUUACUGGGCGUAAAGCGUGCGCAGGCGGUUGUGCAAGACCGAUGUGAAAUCCCCGGGCUUAACCUGGGAAUGGCAUUGGUGACUGCACGGCUAGAGUGUGUCAGAGGGGGGGUAGAAUUCCACGUGUAGCAGUGAAAUGCGUAGAGAUCGGCAGGAACACCCAGGGGGAAACCAGCCGACUGGGCAUUUGCUGACGCUGAGGUGCGAAAGCGUGGGGAGCGAACCGG
rnacentral:rRNA from 1 species